GAGUUUAUGCGGUUUGAGAGCAUUUUGACCCCUUGACUUUUAAUCAAGUUGUCCGGGGUUCGAAUCCCCGCGCGCUCA
rnacentral:tRNA from 1 species